rnacentral:sRNA from 1 species
UUACAUUAUACGGGCAUCUUCAAGGGU